CGUUAAAAGGCAGGUGGUUGUGCAUGUCUGUAUUUCUGUUUUUUGUAUGUCUUAAAAGAUUUAUUUCGAAGGGAUUUUUGGAGGAAAAUUAAAUUAAGUUUCAUGUUCAACGUCGAGUCAAGUUUCUCCUCCAAUCUUAGCUACAGAAAGAACUAACAGAAUAAGCAAGAGUUUGAUGCAGAGUUAUUUACAAAGAUGGAAGAGAUUUCUGCUAGAACAAGCCG